GUCUACCAGCAUACCACCCUGAAUAUGCCUGAUCUUAUCUGAUCUCAGAAGGUAAACAGGGUCAAGCCUGGUUGGUU
rnacentral:rRNA from 1 species